CAGAUGUGACCGUACGUACAGCACGCGAUGCUAGGGAUUCUAAAUGGGAUACCUUAGAUGCUGGGGAAAACUUUCAAAGAAACUCGAAGGCAGCUGGAGAGGAGUCUGAAUGAAGUUUACAGCCGGGGCCAACUUGAAAUUUCAACAAGCAAAGUUCACAGUAAAUCCAUUCAGAGCAACUCAGGGAUGGCAAAGACCAAUCUGUAUAGCGUCUGUCGUUCCCAACAAAAAGAGCCAGGCAAGCCAUUGUCGUGGGCGAUGGACCUUCCUUGGAUUCUUUUCGCGUCAGAUUUUACAUGGAAUGCAAACAUCUCUGGGUAAAUCAUUUGACAUGAGCGGACUUUACCCAUGCGGCCUAUUGUAGUUAUUUCUUUGUCAAGUUAAUUUAAGUGUACAUUCUUUUUUUUUUUAAAGUGUGAAAUUUGACUCUCUCUCUCUCACACACUCGUUUUUACUCCUGCAGCGUCUCCCUUUGUAGAUCUUACUUAAUAUUGUUAAGAAAAACAAAUUCAAUUCCUCAAGACAAUCAUUCUAUUCAUGAACCACAAAAGAAAUCACACAUCUAAAAUGUACCAUUUUCCUUUUGAUUACUGUUCUAAUUGGCACAAGAAGUCUGUUUUCUUUCCUGGGACAUAAAUUUUGAUCGCUUUAAAAUGAGACAAAAAACGAUUACCAAUUUUCUUUCGAGACAAUGAUAGACAACAAAACGUCACACGCAUCUCUAUGUUUUACUGACAUUCAAAGACGAUUACUUUUUUACAAAUGAAUAAAAAUUUGUUCUGCGUUAAAAAAAGACACCCAUUAGAGUAAUUCCCAACAAAAACGGUGCAAACUAACGCUCUUGACAAUGGAUUGUUUGUCUUUACAAAGUAAGGCGUGCAUUCAAUUGGGAACCCCACACUAAACACAUUGACUUUUGAUUAAUAUCGUCGCAGCUACAAUAACAAAGCACUUCUCUCAGCCGUUCAUUUGGCUUUGCCGUGUCAUGGAAGAAUGUACUUGGGCUAUUGAGUGACAGAGCUAAGAAAGGCUCUCAACACCACUUUCAAGCUUUUUCCGCAAAGAAAAGAAGACUGGAGUAGUUUUAUCACACAAAACAAGUGAUCGGUCGAUAAGACAAACUGAGUCGGUGAUGCUCUCGUACUUGAACAACUCAGUAAAGCACCAAUAACAAAUCUUUAGUAACAAUUAAAAUUUGAAACAAUACACGAAAUCGUCUUGGUAUUGUCUUUGUAGUACAACCUUAUUUCUGUUCGCUAACACUUCUUUUUAACCAAAACUUCCAGAUUAAGGAAACUCAAAACUGCACAAGUAAACCGAAAAAAGAAAACUUCAAACGGAUGGUGAUUCACGUAGUCCCACUUUUUCCCUUUAAAACAAAUACGUCUAUGGCUUUUACUUCUUCAUAAAACAAAAUAAAACCACUAUUUCUGAAAUCACGUUCAGAAGAGCUUUUGGUUUUCUGACAAGCACCUCGAUUUUAACCAAAAUCGAAAUUUUCCGCCGAGUUAUCAGAUUUCUCAACUAGCGAAAAGGAAUUUAAAUAUCUCUUCUUUAAGCCAAGUUUUAUUCCCGCUUUCUUAUAUGAAAUCCACAUUAAUACGUAGUUUGUCCAUAAGACCUGCCGUGCAAAAAUUUGCAAGCCAUGGUAAAUAGCCUAGAGUUAUAAAGCCAUCAUGAGAAGAAAGUUCAAACGACCAAGAAAAUGGAAAGGAUUUAAACUCGCCAUUUCACGUUUUUCUGAGAAGUACAUUAGCAUUUUUCUCUUAUUAACGCGUGCGCGCUGACAUUUUAAAAAACAUUAAAGAAAAAAAAAACUUAUAAUCUAAAAAAUCAAAACUCCUGUGAAGUCUAGCGGCCGAGAAUACAACGGACUGAACAAAAGUAACUUAAUGAUUACGGAGGAACAUGCGCAUGCGCAUAUCGCUUUCAUAAAAAAGCCUUUAAUUAACAAAGAACAACCCUGUAAGCUGAUAACCAAAUCCUUCUUGUCUAUCAAUAAAAGGGGAGGGUAGUUGUUAUCUAAGAACGUUUGCCUAUAGCUUAGCAGUGAGCCUUUCCUUGACUGACCUGUCUGUUUGGUUUUGGAUUCUGACGAAUGAGCAAACAAUAGAAGUCAGAAGAAAAAACGACUGGUUUUUUUUAGCAACGGCGUAAACUCUCACGUUUCUAGCACCAGGGAAGGGGAAAAUAGCAACAAUGAAGAUAAAAUCGCUCUCCUAAACACACAGCCACAGACGCAACAGAUUUUUGAAAGCUUGAGUUCUUGGGAAAAAAAUUGCUAAAAAGUUAUUUUUAUAUACUGGCGAAAACACGCUGUUUAUAACACCAGGGAAGGGGAAGGGGGUAACAAUGAAAAUAAAAUCGCUCUUCUUUACAUACACAGUCACAGACAUAACAUAAAUAACAAAUGGCUGGAGAGGGGAUGUGGGCUUAGAUUGUCAACGAGUACAUUUAUGUUAAAAGAGGAAAGAAAGAAAGAAAAUGCUGGGAAGUACUCGGCAAGUUCCGUUGUCGCUCUUGCGUAUCAAACAGGAUGAUGGGCAUAAGGUAGACUCUAGCAGCUUAGAAACGUACCCACUGUUCUUGAGAUUCUAUUUUGGAAACCCCGUAUACGGGUACUCAGGGCGCGUUUUUUCCCUAUCAUUCUGGAAUGGGAAUGGUUGGUAGAAAAUGUUCAGAAUACCACUCGAGUCAUUCUGCUACAGGUAGAAGAAUGGGUGGAAUGGCCCUUAUUCCAUUUCGGAAUGGAACGGGAACGCAGGAUAAACGAACGCGCGCUUUUUCUAUUUUAAUCAUUCUCAUUCCAAAAUCACGAUUAAAAAAAAUGCACCCUUAAUGUCGAACGGUGACCCUAGAAUUGUUCUAAAGCCCAGAACAUUUUUCAUUCUAUCAAACUCACAAACAAAAAAUAGACUCUAAUCAAAAGUAAACGCCCUUGCCAAGUCGUGGAUAAUAAAAUGGUAAUUUGGGACAAAAGCUUGGUUUUGGUGCAUUUAUUUUUAACCCACUUUAGGGUAAAAUGGUAUGUAGAGUAUGGACCAAACCAAUACAUUUCUUGGCUUUAUGUGUUUUAAAAACUGAUUCCUGCUCUUGGCAAACGAAGUUCAGUCUAGAAAUGUUAUUCAUCGAGACAAUGGAAACAAUGCUACUCGUAGCGAAGUACGGAUAAAUUCCGAAGCUUAAAUUAUAAUAGCAAGAAUGUGUUGGAGCUAAUUCAGCAAGCAUGCAUGUAAGAAAUAAACAAAGAAUUUGGUGCACAGCCAGCAGUAGUAAAGGGGAAGUGGAAAUGGCUUACCAGUGGCGUUUCGUAAGUCUGUUGACAACAUGAUAUAUCGUGAAAGCUGAACUGAUAACGAACGGACAUUGAAGCGAAAUAUUGCAUUCAGGUAGCUAUUUAUCGAAUGUGGCUUCAUUUUUUAUUGGCAAGAAAGGCAGGAAUGACGUUAAAUCAUAGUCUUAACCAUCACCACCUUCAAAAAAUUCAACUGCGGCCGCCAUGUUUUUUUACAUUUACCGCUGACAAUUCGCGGGCUUUUUCGCUAAAACAUUUGAUUUGAUUGGCCAAGAGUUGUGACAUUAGAAGAGUUAUGAUUGGCUAUGGGUUACACUUGAGUCGACGAUUAUUAGUGACACAACCCCGCUAACCGCAAAAAGUCCUGAAUAGCUUCGCUAUCCACGACUUAAAAACCGAUAUGUUCUUUUCUUCGAGGCCGCGCCAUAAAGGGUUUGCUGACUGUUGUAGAUGAAGUAUGCCCAGGAAACCAGGGCUACCACUACAUUGGGGUGCUUGCAGACCGCUAGUUUUUGAAAAUGUGAAAAUUGCCACAUUGUCACAACAUGGCUGCACUGUAUAACACCCCUACUUCGCCUUCUAGCCAGCUCUCCAGAAAUCCUAUUCAGAAAUUACUGUAUCUGGGCUUUCAGGAUUCCUGUGGGAAGCAAAAGGUGGUUAUAGCUGUGAUGAAGUCACUAUACUUGCUUGUGAAAAGAUGUUUAUAGGAUGGAAAGUCAUAUAUCAAUCCAUGGAUGAAAUUUCAGUGAAGUCUGCUCUUAUAGCGAGGCUAACAAAUUAUAGCGAUUUUUAAUACAUCGCGACCCUUCACCUUGACAUUCUAACUGUGAUUUUAGUUAGUUCUUGGACGUCAAUCAUCUGCAUUUCCAUAACGAUCAAGGCAGACUUCAUUUGUUUCAUGUAUCGAAAGUUGUAGUCGACUUUACUUAGGGCCUGAGAGCCACAUUUGACAACAAAGUAAAUAAACGCAGUUCUCAUAAAAGAAUAAAAAUAUAUUGCAAAACAUUCAAGGUUCCAGUUUUGCCAGUCAUCUCACAAAGAAAGCCUCGAAACUCUUCCUUCAAGAUUCGACUGCUGUCAUGCAAGUCAACAAACGGCCAUGUUAUCAGUGCUAAUUACAUCUUGUUCAGAUAAUAUUUGAUUUUGCGACCUGCUAAUUAGAUCAUCACUUGCUCUAAUUCCUGUGAAUCUUUUUCCUUAACUGUUCGUACCUUGUUCCAAACGUUUUGAAGCAAUUUCAGCUGAUCAUUUUAGCCAAACUGACCUACGCUCUUCGAUUCUCAAUCUCAUAAACAAACGAAGUUGACUGCGAAACUACGACCGUUAUGGAAACGAGGGGCGAAGGGUCGCGAUGUAUUGAGAACCGCGAUACGUCUUGUGGAAAUUGAAGUAUGAGAUAAAUUAAAAAAAUUCUAAGCAUA